GGGCGUUUAGCUCAGGGGUAGAGCGCUCGCUUUGCAUGCGAGAAGCCGUGGGUUCAAAUCCCACAAUGUCCA